GGCCCGGGUGAAAGGCAGCCCAUUGAAUCUCUCCGGCUGAUCUUAUCGGCCGCCGGAGAAAUGAGAUAUUGGCAGGGCCCGGGGACCGUCUCCCAGCUGAGCAGGUUAAUAAGGUUGGGAGGUAGGCCACGGGCUAAUUGGAUUUGCCCCGGCCCACAGAGUGGCAGGCCCACUGCCAGAGAGACAGACGCGGGGCGGGCGGCUUCUCCUUUGUUUAGACCCGAGCCGAGCCGGGAGAGGGAGAAAUGAGGCCGCCCCUUGGAAGGCGACGUGUCUUCCCGAAAUCCCGGCCCCGGGCAGACCCCGAGUCUCACCCUCUGCGGCUGAAGCGGCUGGCUUCUGAUUUGCACCAGAGAGUGUUUAACCUCGCCGACCCUGGGCGGCAGGUGCAUGUGGGAAUCUCAGAGCCCGGGAGCCGGCUGGAGCGACAUUUGUGGAAGGACAGUCGCCAUCACCCUUGGAUUGGGGGUUUCAGAGGAGAUAAAGACAAGCGGUUAAAGACUUGCCAUCAAAGGGCACACUAUCUACAUGAUGUCCGUGUACAAUGUUGAGAAAUCUGGGGGAGCCUCGCCCCACACGUCCUUCUCACGGGUGAUUCUAUGCCACUUGAGAAGUACAAGAAUCAGGUGUGGGCCACAGCCAGGAUGAUGGAGGAGGGCCGGGCCUCACCUGGCCCCACUAGGAAGCAGCAGAAAGGGCCUGGAGUCCCGUGGACAUCAGGCUGGCGUCCAAAUGAGUUAUCAGGCGGCAGGGAUACUGACUCCACUUUCUUCCCCGUAUGAGCCACUCUGAUGUCAAGGGCGAGAGCUGAGACUAGGGGGGAAGGCCAUUCUGGAGGUGAGGGGCCGAGUCUCCCCAAAGCACACUGACAUGGGAAGUUGCCUACAUGGGGGCAAGCAAGAUCCAGAAUGCUUAACAGAGUUCCAGGCUCCAGAGCCUCGAUUAAGUUUCCCAAAGUGGAAUGAGUUAGAGGUAAUUUUUUUUUUUUGGCCUUUUGGGAUAUUAACCCUAUUGAUUUAUUUAUCCAAAAACAUCAUUUGCGGACUGCCUGCCGUGUGCCUCCAGAUACAUCCAUGAACAAACAUGGGGAGACCCUGGGGCCUCAGGAGCUGGAGCCGUAGGCGAGGAAGACAAUCGACAUCAACUAUAAACUUAAUUAAAUGUAAAUAAGUCAAUGUGUUGGCGGUUUUGAGUGUCCUAGAUGAAAAUAAAGCGAGCCAGGUCAGGGAGAAGGAAAGCGGGGGACAGAUGCUGUGUCUGACAUAAGUGUGGUCAGGGCUGGCCUUACGGAGAAGGUGGGUAAGGGAGAAGUCACAAUCUGUGGCCUCCGGGGGGGCAGGGGGCUCGCUGAGAAGGACAACUGCAGGAGAGGCAGUUUAGGGGGUAUGAUCAGGCUUGCGAUCGCUGGGAGGUGUUCAUGGGUUUAUUUGUUACCAUUGGAUGUUUCUGGAGAGGCCGCGGUAUAGGAGACAAGCUGGGUAGAAGGACAAAUCUGGAAAAUGUCAGCAUCUGAAUGGUGUGUUGGAAACCAGGGCACUUGAAGAGACCACGAAGGAAGCUAGUCGGGAUGGAGAAGAGGAGGGGCCACACUGGGGGUCCCAGGGGAGCAGACGAAUGGGGCCUGGAAGGAGGUGCAGCCGGAGAGGUUGCUCGUGCUGGAGGGUGACAGCCGAGUCCCGGGAGGGAGCAGGCUGCACGAGGCCUGGAGCGCCCUGCGUCCCGAGGGCCCUGCGGCCAAGGAAAGCAAAGACCCAGGGGGUAGCUGGAAGGGGGUGUGGGCACAGGGAAGGGAUUUUGCUUGAUUCUUUGCUUCUCUGGGGGAGAAGUGGUAGCUAGAGCCUAAGGGGGUGAUGAGCAGAGGAGGACCCCGGGGAGAGAUGUGGUGAGCAGGGUGGGACCCAGCGGGCAGGUGAGCUGUUCCUCAGCUUCCUGUAUCCUUCAGUAAGCGUGUGUGUGUGCACCUGUCACUGCAGGGACGGUGGGGGCGGGGGGGCGCACCGUGCAGAGGCUCCUCCCCACGGCCCUUUGUUCCUUAAGUAAGAGCCAUCGGUGUGUGACUCAGGUCCCUGAAGCAGAUGUCAAGGCAGAUGCAAACGGGUAAGGAGCCCCGGGGUCCCGGCACCUUCACUCCGACCAGCACCAAGCAGGCUCCAGGACGCCCGCGAGGGGCAGGGGGAGGAAGAUGGGCUCAGGUCCCCUUUCCAUUCUACGCUUCCACCCAAGUCAGCGUCACAAAUGAGCCUCACAAGACGGUAACUGGCAUUUUAGAUUCAUCGUCUGUUGGAUAUGCAGGUGUGGGAAGCCGAAUUCCACUUACAUGUUUAUUUAUUCCCUUUUUCUAUAGGAAAAAGUGCUCGUGUUUAAAACUGAUGUAACGUCAGCCGUGGUCAAAGACCUUGACUGGGUCAUCCUGUCCUCAAAGGCGGCAUCACCCAGAAAACAGCGAUGGGAGCCUGUGACAGCCCAGCCGCUCUGGCUGCAGGUUUGGGGGGGGGGCUGGCGCUUGGAGCACAGGCCCCCUCCCUCUUGCCCCCUUGCUGAGACCCCCCAAAGCCCUGAAUCUCUGUUCUAGGCCACCCCGCGGUGGGUUAGACAGCAACACGUUUGCUCACACUUAACGCCAGGCCUGUUGCUCCUGAGUUUUCGCCACGCGAGUGCCACGAAGCCAAGGUCACCGCAGCUGGCGCCCUUUCCAGACUUGCCCGGAGCGCACGGCCAGCCCCCAGCACUGCGCAUUGUGCCUGGGUUCUGGCACCUCCCCCGAGUGACGAUGACGUGUAAGUGUCACAGUGGCCACAACCCAGGUGCCCAAAGACCGCACCUCCCCAGGGAGGUUGCGGAUGCAGACUCACAGGGGACCCCAGACCCCGAGGGGACGCCUGGCUCGGGGAGGGACAGGGUUUGGGGCGGCAGAGAAUGGGCUUGCGUUGCCCUGGAAGGUGGUGCGAGCGAGCGGCUGAUAGGUCGUGCCGGGCUUGGAGGGAACAACCUGCUGCGCUCUUGGGGACCCCGGCACAGCGACGGGGAGUGGGUGAGAACGUGCUGGAGAAGCCGGGCGCCGCGGGCACGUGAGGACUCGUCAUUGAGGUCUGUUCUCUCACCUCUGCCGCCUGGUCCACACCUGACCUUUGUGGCCUGGGGACACAGAAAGGUAUGUUAUGGCCUGAAUAGUCCUCUCUCAGACAACGAAGUUCCCCUGUCGUUACACGCGGCUCCCUGGGGGUGCUCCCAUAACAAAGCGCCACAAACAGGGUGGCUGAAACAGAGAUGGGUUGUCUCCCAGUUCUGGAGGCUGGAAGUCCGACACCAACGUGUGGGCAGGGCUGGUCCCCGAGAGCUGUGAUGGCAAACCUGUUCAGGCCUCUCUCCUGGACUCUGGGGCUUGUCCGCAAGCCUUGGCGUCCCUGGCACAUGCCUGUAUGAGCCCCGUCUCUGCCUUCGGCUCACAGGGUGUCUCCAGGCUUGGGGCUUCCCUCUUCCAUCAGGACACAGCCGUCUUGGGCCGUGGACCCACUCUCCCCCAGCAUGACCUUGUCCUAGCUAAUUACCCCAACGACGACCCAGUCACACUCUGAGACACUGGGGUUUAGGACUUCACCAUAUGGACUUCGCAGGGACACGACUCGACCCUGAAUGGCAAGACCCUUAUCCCUUCCUCAGAGAUUCCCUGGAACUAAUCAGCCUUCUUGCCCCAUGCACCAAAGAUCAAUAAUCCCUGACACCCGGGAGUAAUCGCUAGAACUCCUCUGUUCCCGGUAACCUUACAAGGGAAGGGUGAGCUUCAUUUUCCAGGUAAUGAAAAUGACGGGAAAAGGAGGGGAAGCUCAGAGAGGUUCAGUGAGUUAUCCAAGGUCACACAGUGAGGAGUGAAGGUUCGGGAAUUCAAAUGUAGGCCGUGCCUACACGACCAGCCUGUGGUGGGCCUUUCCCGAAGACACAGGCACACACGUGCUCCUGAAGGCCUUGUACACGCCGGCUUCGGGAAAUCCUUCUCCAACUGGCUGUGCUGUUUUUAUGCACCCAGGAAACACUGAACACUACAGCAUUGCUCUGAGGCUACUGGGUUUUACAUACUUGAGAUAAUGAAAACACAUCUUGGUGGAAAGUCGUGGGGUGUGUGUGUGUGUGUGUGUGUGUGUGUGUUUAAGGGCUUUUGUCUAAUUACCUACUAGAGACGUUUUGUCCCCAAAGCAAUCACAGUGCCGAAUGUUCUGUUUAUUCCGGUUGUCUGCUGCAGAAAUGGGAAAUAUUAAAUCAAGCCUUGCUCUCUGGAAGAAAAAAAAAAAAAGAGAGAAAGUCUAUGGAAUAAAAUGCAAUAUUAUAAGAACUGUUCUGCAGCAGAAGGGAGCACGUUCAGUCAGGGUAAAUAAAGAAAAGAAAACAAUUUCAACCAAACUUUGCUUCAAAUUAAAAUGCAGGUUUAUUUUUAAAGAAAGAAA